GAUAAACGCUGGCGGCGUGCAUAACACAUGCAAGUCGAACGAAGUGGCGAACGGGUGAGUAACACGUGAGUACCCUGCCUUACACAAGGGGAUAGCCUCUGGAAACGGAGAAUAAUACCCUAUAGUGUAAGAUGGACUUGCGUCUGAUUAGCUAGUUGGUGAGAUAAAAGCUCACCAAGGCGACGAUCAGUAGCCGGCUUGAGAGAGUGUACGGCCACAUUGGGACUGAGACACGGCCCAAACUCCUACGGGAGGCAGCAGUGGGGAAUUUUGCACAAUGGGGGAAACCCUGAUGCAGCGACGCCGCGGGAUUUAGAAGGCCUUCGGGUUGUAAAGCUCUGUUAAUCGGGACGCGGUACCGGAAUAGAAAGCCACGGCUAACUACGUGCCAGCAGCCGCGGUAAUAC
rnacentral:rRNA from 1 species